AUGUAUUUGGUGGGCCUUUCUGGGCUCCCAGAUUCACACACCCGAGCAUCAUUACUCUAAUUGAAGAUUAGGGGCUUAUUGACGUCGACUCAAUUGCAGUCAGUGACUGAUCUACAAAUCACCUUGCAGUAUAAAUAACUAUUCAUGAUCAUUUAGAGAUCAGUCAGUCAGUCACCCACAAUGCAUCACAGCGUUGAUGGGCCGCGUUCAAGAAUAUCAAAACCGCAAGGUAUCAUGGGUAAAUUGUUUACCGAUUGACUGAUCUACAAAUAUGAAUGAGUCUUUAUUUAUGAUGUAAGGUGAUUUGUAGAUCAGUUAGCCUGCAGUCGUUUUGAUGCUCUCGAACAAUAGGAAGAGCUCAAUUGCAACGCCACGGGUCCUCUCUCCUCGGCUCCUUCUCAAAACCCAUUGGAUAAGAAAGCCAAAGGUUCUUCCCCCUGACUUUCUCCUCCAAUGGUUUUUGAGAAGGAAACGAGGAGAGAGCAAUUGAGAUCUUCCCAGGGGCAAGUUGUUGACGCUUGACAGCUGGCCCUAAUUAGCAUGUUAGCGACUACGAUUGACAGUUAAGUUUGAACGUGGAAGUUGAGGAAAAAGUUGGUGAAGCAACCGCUGUACUGGAUUGCAAAGAAUAUUGGUGUCAGUUCUGAUGGUAUGGAGUGGGAGGAUGAGGGUCAAGGACUGGAAUGGCCUGUAGUGGAAAGACAAAGGAAGAAGAGAGAUCAUGAUACUGAAAGCAGUGGAGAGUCUAGUAAAGAAAGCCAAGGUAAGAAGCAAGAGUAAUAAUGUGUUGGAGUGGAAAGUCCCGAUGGUUUUUGAGAACACAUGGCCUCAUUUACACCUUAUCCGACUUUCUAAUUAAUGUUGUAGAGAAAGAGGUAGUGUUGAUGACACAAGUUUACUGGAGAACUGAGACGAAGUAGAGACUCUGGACAGGGUGGAUAUUCGUAUAAUAAAAAGCAGUUUUAUUCAGAGGUAAAGAUAUCUGAUACAAACAUGCAUGGACUCGUUCAUUCAGCUCGUAAGGAACCUUCAGACAGAGCCCAGAUAACAGAAAUACAUAGUCAUUUUAUACAGCACAGAAAGUAGGUUGAGUCUGGUAGAUCUGGUUUUCUGGUUGGUCCUGAUCAGGUUGUUGUCUUCUCAGAUUGGUCCGGAUGAGCUGUGCAUCAUCCUUCUGAGUCUUGCAUCAAAAGUUCUUUGUUACCAAAUGUUCAGCUAAAACAGGAGAUUAGGUGUGUGCGCAGAUGUUCCUAUUUAAUCGGUGUUUAUGAAAGGUUUAUGUCAGCCCUCUGUCCUUGGUUAUGUGUGUGUCUCAUUAUCUCGUGAAAUGCAGACCCAAGCACUCUUGCUCAAGGCCUUUCCUGCCUUAUCAGUGUUUAUGAAUGUUCUGUGUCAGCCAUCUGUCUCUGGGUGUGUGUGGGUCUCAGUUUCUGCUUGUGAGAAACCCUGUUUUAGAAAGAAGUUAGUUAUAACAAUGUAAUAGCAAUAUGCUUGUGUUAUUUAAAAUGGUAUUUAUUACAGUAGGUGAGGUCAAAUUAGCUCGGUUCAUUGGAAGUGGUAGAUUGUUAAUAUUUUGUCGUAACCAAGCUCAGCAAGAGAAGAUUCUGAAGAUUAAAAGACACGUUCCUGGUACUUAUGCAAGAUUGAGGGGAGUCGUCAAUGGGGUCCCAAUAUGUAUGUCCAUAGACGAUAUUAAAGAAAAUGUGAAGGGAGGAAGAGUGAAUGAGGCCAAAAGUUUUAUUAGUAGGAAAGCUGGUCAAAGAAGUGAAAGCCUAUCAGUACUGCUUACGUUUGAGAAAGUCAUGCCUGGGAAAGUACAGAUAAGAUUCAUUAGUUUCAAUGUCAGAGAAUUUGUCCCAUCUCCAUUUCCGUCUUAUCAAACUUUGUCACAUGCACCGAAUACAACAAGUGUAGACCUUAGAGUGAAACGCUUAUUUACAAGCCCUUAACCAACAGUGCAGUUUAAAACCUUUCUGGAUCACCCAUCCCGGAUCCGGGAUCAUUCUCAUCAGAAACGCUGACUAGCAUAGCCUAGCCUAGCGCCACAGGGAUAUCAUAAUAUAAUUUCAUGAAAUCACAAGUCCAAUACAGCAAAUGAAAGAUAAACAUCUUGUGAAUCCAGCCAACAUGUCCGAUUUUUACAAUGUUUUACAGCGAAAACACAACCUUUAUGUUAGCACACCACCAUAUCCCAAAAAACACAGCCAUUUUUCACUGCAAAGAUAGCUUUCACAAAACCCACAAAUAGAGAGAAAAUUAAUCACUAACCUUUGAACAACUUCAUCAGAUGACAGUCUUAUGACAUCAUGUUAUACAAUACAUUUAUGUUUUGUUCGAUAAUGUGCAUAUUUAUAGCCAGAAAUCGUGGUUUUACAUUGGCGCCAUGUUCAGAAAUGGCUCCAAAAUAGCGAAAGUAAUUACAGAUAGCAACGUGAAAUACAGAAAUACUCAUCAUAAACUUUGAUUAAAGAUACACUGGUUCUUAAUGCAACCGCUGUGUUAGAUUUAAAAAAUAACUUUAGUAAAAAGCACAGCAUGCAAUAAUCUGAGACAGCGCUCAGCCAUUCUCCGCCAUGUUGGAGUCAACAGAGUCAACAGAAAUACGAAAUAACAUCUUAAAUUUUCCCUUACCUUUGAACUUUCCUCAGAAUGCAGUGCCAGGAAUCCUAGUUCCACAAUAAAUCGUUGUUUUGUUUUAUAAUGCCCAUUACGUCUGUCGAAUUAGCAACUUUGGCUAGCAUGUGUAGCUCACGUGUCCAUAAACAUUUGCGCAAUGAACGAAAACUUCAAAAAGUGAUAUUAAAAGUCGAAUAAACUGGUCAAACUCAUUUGAGAAUCAAUCUUCAGGAUGUUUUUCUCAAAUAUAUCCAAUAACGUCCCAGACUGAGAAUUUCUUCAUGUCUAUCUAACACAUUGCAGACAAAGAAAUGACAUUCCCAAUGUGCGCGGCCAAGUACUGGCAAUCUGCCUGACCUGUCACUCCAAAGGCUCUCAUUCGGUCCCACAUCAGGCUAGACGCUUCAUUCCACGUUCUACUGCCUGUUGACAUCUAGUGGAAGGCGUAUGAAGUGCAUACAGAUCCAUAAAUAUAAUGCAAUUGAAUAGGCGAUGCCUUUCACAGCGACCCAAUUCAGAAUUUUCACUUCCUUGUUUGGAAGUUUGCCUGCCAUAUGAGUUCUGUUUUACUCACAGAUAUAAUUCAAACAGUUUUAGAAACUUCAGUGUUUUCUAUCCAAUAGUAAUAAUAAUAUGCAUAUCAUAUGAUCUAGGACAGAGUACGAGGCCGUUUAAUUUGGGCACAAAUUCAUCCAAAAGUGAAAAUGUUGCCCCCUAUACCUAAGAAGCGUUUAGAAAAUAUUUACCAAGUAAACUAUAGUUGAAAGAAAAAAUAAAUAAUAAAAAGUAACACAAUAAUGAGGCUAUAUACAGGAGGUACCAGUACUGAGGUAGUGUGUGGCGGUACAGGUUAGUUGAGGUAAUUUGUACAUGUAGGUAGGGGUGAAGUGACUAUGUAUAGAUAAUAAACAGUGAGUAGUAGCAGUGUACAAAACAAAUGGAGGGGGUCAAUGUAAUAGUCCGGUGGCCAUUUAAUUAAUUGUUAAUCAGUUUUAUGGCUUGGGGGUAGAAGUUGUUAAGGAGCCUUUUGGUCCUGGACUUGGCACUCCGGUACCGCUUGCCGUGCGGUAGCAGAGAGAACAGUGUAUAACGUGGGUGACUGGAGUCUUUCCUCUGACAUCGCCAAUUAUAUAGGUCCUGGAUGGCAGGAAGCUUGGCCCCAGGGAUGUACUGGGCCUUAAGCACUAUCCUCUGUAGCGCCUUAUGGUCAGAUGCCGAGCAGUUGCCAUACUUUUAAAUGCAAAAGAAUGGGACAUGUCGCAGUUCAAUGUAAAGGAAGGAACUGAUAUGCUAAGUGUGGAGGGGAACACGAUUAUGGUGAAUGUGGGCGCAAUGUGAAGGGUAAGUGUUGCAAUUGUGGUGGGGACAUAGUUUAGCAUUUGGUGGAUGCCAGGUGCAGAGAGGGGCUCGGCGAUAUAGAAGUUGUCAUGAUGUAUCAUAUGUAAAGGCUAUAAGACCGAUUUGAUGGAACUACAGUAUGGAAUGAUGGAGCUUCCAAUGCUGCUCCUGUACUAAGUGGACCUAAUGUCGGGGCUGGUGUUUCUGCUGGUUCUGGCAUGGUUUUGCGGCCUAUUCAGAAAUCUUGCGCUCAUGAAUGUGCGGCGUCAAAGGACACUUAGAUAAUUGUCAUGAUGUGGCCCUUUCUGGGUAUAGAUCGUGGCUUACUCCCCUCACUCUCUCCUACACCCAGGUUCUGUUAUCUCAGGUUGUAAAUUCCUGGUGGAGACUCUCUCCCCAUGGCCAUGCAGUAUAGAGAGAGUGAGUUUCACAGUAGAACAAAGGAACUUCUCCUACAUCACAGAAUUUGAGAACUGAACAAUAUCCAUGUUUUGGAGAAUGUGUAAAUGGUCGGUAGAGAAGCCAGCUACGACCCGGUCCGUUUUGUUUCAUGUUUGUGACCUCAUGAAAAACAAUACAGCCACAUUUCCAUAACUCUGUUUACACAGGUGCCUCCGUUAUGACAUUUGUAUCUAAUUAUUGUAUAAAAUGAAUGAGUAAAGAUGAAACUAUUUGUGAAAUGAUGUAAUGUGAUGUUAAACCUUUAAUGUGAGAGAAUUGUAUUCCCUUUAAAGUUUAACUAAGUCAUUGGCCCGUCCCCGUCCCCGUGAGCACAGACAUGAUCUGGCGUCAUAGAACCACCUUUUCAAAUGUUACGAAUAAAACCCCCUCCUGAGGAAAUCCUCUUCAGACCACGCAUACCUCGGUGUAAGCUGGAGCAUUGGCUACACAGCUGUAAACGGUUCAACUCUGAGACUAUCGGUCCCAACAGAAUAAGAGCAAAUCUUUAUGAGAACAUUUCUGAAUGGUACUCUGAAGUAUCCAUUCUAACCACGAAAGACUUUGAUCUUCAGGGAAACGGAAAGAGAGCGAGAGGGAGACUCGGAUGAACUCUCCAGCAGAUGGACUGGAUUUCAACAGAAAAGAUCAUGACACAUGGGCGUAAAUAUAUAUUGAUUACAAUUAUUCCCGAAUGAGUUAGCGUUCAUGAGCAAAGGAUUAGCAUUUCAAUUAAUAUAGUUAUCAAUGGUUUGUAGUGAUCCCUUUUGUCUUUCCCGCACUUUCUCAGUCCACACCCACUUUCCUUUGUCCAGCAAGCCGUCAUAUCAGCUUAGCCCACUAUCAUUUGUUAGUAACAUAUCUACUGUUUGUUUGUUUGUUCAUUUUUUGUUAGUUAGUAAAUAAAUGAUUAAGCCAAUUGGUGUAUGGAUAAUUCAUAGUAAAGGCUGGGUUCGUGCAGAUAACCAACAAUUUACAACGUUUGGAAUGAGACUGACGUGAGGUAAGGAAUAAUUCAUUAAUAGAAGACUAAUUUAUCAGAUAUUAAAAUAUUUGAAAAGUUAUAUUCGGAAAAUUAUAACAUGGUAAUCUGAAGAUUUUCUGUGGUGCCCUGACUUCCUAGUUAAUUACAUUUACAUGAUUAGUUUAAUUCCGUAAUAAUAAUUACAGAGAAUUUAUUUGAUAAAAUAACAGUCUUCACUUUUAAUUAUGCCAAAGACACGACAUAAUGAAUAAAGUUAUCAAUACGACUCGGGUUGUCGAAAGCAGAAAUGGCAAAAGAGAUAUUUGGGGUAGCGGAUUUUGCUGUUAAAUGUUGUUGACAUGCUGAACAAACCUAAGGGUGGAGCAUUUCAGUAUGUUAUAGAUCAAGUUUAAAUGGGUAGGGGUGUUGGAGGGUUUUUUGUGGUAGAAGUUAGUGUGGAUUUAUUUGGCUGUUAUUUUCAUGGUAGUACAGAAUCGGGCAGAUCAUGAUGGAUCGUACAUUCCUGCGCAGUAGGUGGCGGCAUGCACUUAAGCGAUUGUUUGUGGAUCUCAAUGAUAUCAUAGAGUGAGCGAGUUCAUCAUAAGCACAGUUCAGGUGCUGGUUGUACUGUUGGGACAUCUUUUGCUCUUAGCUUGCGCCACUGCAGGGCAAUUAAGCUAAUGGCUAGCAACGUCCCAUUGUCCACACAAGUAAGUAUGUCUACAACAAACAAUAUGACAACCUACAUCAAGUUGUAUUUCGGUCACCAGCAAUAAAGCUUCUGUUGCUGCUCCAAGUGUACUAACUCCUUGGUAUUGGUAAGUAGGCCUAUUAGACUACUCAACCCCUUUUAGCCUGUGGUCAGCACACCUUGCAAGGUCAUUGGAAAACUAUUGAAAUAGAUUGAUGGGAUCCACACAUAGGCAAGGUGAAGUAAUGAAGGCAGAAUGUCCGCCUUCAGCACUAACACCUUCCCACUAAAGGAUAGUCGCCUCACUUAAGGGUGUUUCUGUGUUCCCUCUAGCUACAGAUUGUAACACCAGAUAAUGUGAUUUAACCCCCCAAAAUAGGACCAUUAUACUGGUAGUUACAGGUGUGGCUAUACAAAACGUCACCAGAGAUGUUUCAACUGACCUGAUAUUGGUGAUACUAUCUUCUGUAAACGGGAGUCUCAUAAAAUGUCAGUGUCCGGGCGAGGUUAUGGAUAACUUCCGGGUCUCCCGCACCGUGAGCCUGGCGCUUGGAGAAAGGGCCCUUUGGCUAAACUUAACAAAGAAAAAGUGGGCCUCCUGGAAGCCCCUGUGACACCCAAUGGAAACGCUCUCAGUAUAGAAAUGCUGGAUUUUAGGUGUUCUACACAUGAAAUUGUCAUUCCAAACUUUACCUGCAACUGUACAGUAUAUUCCAUUUUGUUGCGACUCAAGCGAUACCUCUCUGUUCUAGCAGCAGGCUACAUGGAGAAUGUACCACAUCUAAAGACCUGCAAAGGCAAUACUGAGAGCUUUUCCGUUUCUAAAAGGACAUAUUUGGGUGUUUUUGGAGCAUUUGAUCAUGUUUUUACAGAGCUCCCUUACUGCACAACAAGGAUGAGGAAGUUAAUAUCUAGUUGGGGAAGUUUCUUAAACACAAGUGAAGUCACACUAAAAUAAAUUGUCUACGCCCUUCUAGAACAUGCCAUUUAAAUAAGAAAUGUAGAUUUGGUUUUAAAAAGCAAAGUUCUUCUUUAACUACCCUUUGCAUAAAUGGUGAUGUAGAAGUUAUAUACUGUAGUAGUUUUGCAAAUUUAAAUCCACUGUCAACUCUAUUCCUUCAUGGUAUCCCACUAUGAGCUGUGAGCCGAUACCUGUGGUACUAGCUGUGCCAGCCUGGUGGACUCCUUCACCUGCUCUGCUUUGAGGGCUGCCAGUGCAACGUGGGCUUCGUCUCUGAUGGCGACAAGUGUCUCCAUGGAUACGUGCGGAUGCAUCUACGAAGGCCACUAUGUGAUGGUUGGCCAAGUGGUGUUAACAGAAGUCUGUGACUCGAAGUGUGUUUGCCCCGCCUCUCAGGGCUGGUGAGGUGUGAGAAGCUGAUCUGUGCCAGAGGAGAGUUCAGUGGGCUGAAGGACUGUCAGAGGAUGCCAAUGCAAGCAGGGGCACUGCAUGGUCCACCCUGGUAUCCACUUCACCUCCUUCAAUGGCAUGAGGCGGCCGUGGGCAUAGGGGCGUUCGAGGUGGCCUCUGUGUGACCAGACCUUUGGCCAGUGGUUCAGGGUGGUGGUUUACGCACACGUCUAUAGUAAGGGAGCCUAUCCCAAUGUGGCUACAGUCUAAGUGUUCUCCAUGGAUGUCACUAUCAACAGCCAGCACAACACCUGGAUCAACGGCCAGACUGUGUCCAUCCUCAGCACUCCAGACAAUCAGCGUCGCCGACAGGACAGUGGUCAUCGAGAGGGUGUCCCCUACUCCAUCUCCCAGGAGCUCUUGGUUACUAUUGACAACCACCUGGCGGGUGUUCGGCGCUGCGGCAACUACGACGGUAUUGCCAAGGAAGACAUAACAGGCAAUCCUCCACAGAUGUGACUGUGAUCGUUGGGGACUUCUCUAGCUGGCGAGUGGUUGACGUGUAGAGUAUGAUGUAACUCUUCUUAUAGAGCAGUAGUACAACGAGGGAAUGUACAUAGAACAUCACUGCAGUAUUCCUUCAGUGUCCAAUCAUAAUAUUUCCUUUAAUCCUAUGCCUAGUAGAAGUGUUUUCUCUUUCUCUACAAUACUGUAAACUACUUGCAGAGAGACUCUACCUAUCCUCAUUCCCUCUUUAAAUUAUGUAUCUUGAACUCCAUUUUAAGUGCAAAUGUUAUUUAACCGCUGCAGUAAGAGCACAGAUCAGGCACCCAUGGGUAUGCAGCGAUGCUAGGACUAUUCAACCACUUUUUCUCUUAAAGAACAAGUACCAAACAAGGAGCCUGACAAGUCCUUUUAAGGGAAGGAAAGUGUGGUUUUAAAUUGCAUUUGAACCAUUUUAAUUAAAUGUCAGAAUCCCCUGCGGUAAUUACUGAUUAAAAAACAGGUGAGACUUUUGGCAUUUCAUUAGGUUCCCCAUUAGCUGUUGCAAAAGCAGCAACUUCUCUUCCUGGGAUCCACACAAAACAUGACCGAUGACAUAAUACAGAACAUCAAUAGACAGAACCAGAUCAACAACAAAAAAGGCACACGUAGCCUCAUAUACAUACACACAAACUAUCUAGGUCAAAUAGGGGAGAGGCGUUGUGCUCUGAGGUGUUACGUUUUGAAACAAGGUCAAAUCAAAAUCAAAUCAAACUUAUUUAUAUAGCUUUUUGUACAUCAGCUGAUAUCUCAAAGUGCUGUACAGAAACCCAGCCUAAAACUCCAAACAGCAAGCAAUGCAGGUGUAGAAGCACGGUGGCUAGGAAAAACUCCCUAGAAAGGCCAAAACCUAGGCAGAAACCUAGAGAGGAACCAGGCUAUG